ACUGUUUCCAGGCCCCAAACCAUCAUUCAAAAGGCAUCUGGAAAGAAAGUAUUUACCAUCAGAGAGCAAGUGGGAUGAAUUGCUGAUGGUUGGUUGAACAAUGCCCUCCAAGUCAACAGACAAAAGCAACGUGGAGUAAAAAAGCUGCUUUUCUGACUGGAAGCUGGACAGAGUUGUUACGAGCAUUCCUCGGCACUGAUGCAUCAGAGGUGAGAAGCCAGGAACCUGAUUCCCAGGAGAACCCCAGCUUGUUUACUUCUUCACACUGGC